rnacentral:lncRNA from 1 species
UCUAGAAGCAGGGUUUGGAAAUCCGACUUAUUGCCUGAUGUAUUUCUUCCUCCUCACACAUGAAAGCCCACGUUAGAGAUAGACUAAGAGAAACUAAUAAAUAGAAUAGAGAGGAAGAGAAGUUAGGGGUUGGAGUCUCACCAAAUAGAUGAACAAAGUGGUGGAAGAUGGAAGAAGGGAGAAAGAGGGUGGAUUGUGAGAGAUAUGAAGGAAGGAUGGUGAUGGAGAGGGUGCGGAAGAGAGGG